rnacentral:rRNA from 1 species
UCUCAAAGAUUAAGCCAUGCAUGUAUCAGCACAACCCUUUAAGGGGAAGCCGCGAAUAGCUCAUUACAACAGUCGCAGUUUACAAGAAUAUCACACGGUGGAUAACUGUGGUAAUUCUAGAGCUAAUACAUAUGUCAAACCCUAACUUACGAAAGGGUGAAUUUAUUAGAACAAAGCCAAUCAGACGCAAGUCUGUCUCAGGUUGACUCUGAAUAACUUUUCUAAUCGCACGGUCUUUGUACUGGCGAUGUAUCUUUCAAAUGUCUGCCUUAUCAACUGUUGAUGGUAGAUUAUGCGCCUACCAUGGUUGUUACGGGUAACGGAGAAUCAGGGUUUGAUUCCGGAGAGGGAGCCUGAGAAACAGCUACCACAUCCAAGGAAGCAGCAGGC